CCUCGAAGUACUCUGAGGCUUGUAGGAGGGUAAAAUAGAGACCCAGUAAAAUUGUAAUAAGCAGUGCUUGAAUUAUUUGGUUUCGGUUGUUUUCUAUUAGACUAUGGUGAGCUCAGGUGAUUGAUACCCCUGAUGCGAGUAAUACGGAUGUGUUUAGGAGUGGGACUUCUAGGGGAUUUAGCGGGGUGAUGCCUGUUGGGGGCCAGUGUCCCCCUAGUUGGGGGGUGGGAGCUAGGCUGGAGUGGUAAAAGGCUCAGAAAAAUCCUGCGAAGAAAAAAACUUCUGAGGUAAUAAAUAGGAUUAUCCCGUAUCGAAGGCCUUUCUGGACAGGUGGUGUGUGGUGGCCUUGGUAUGUGCUUUCUCGUGUUACAUCGCGCCAUCAUUGGUAUAUGGUUAGUGUGUUGGUUAGUAGGCCUAGUAUGAGGAGGGUUGUGGAGUGGAAGUGAAAUCACAUGGCUAGGCCGGAGGUCAUUAGGAGGGCUGAGAGGGCCCCUGUUAGGGGCCAUGGGCUGGGUUUUACUAUAUGAUAGGCAUGUGAUUGGUGGGUCAUUAUGUGUUGUCGUGCAGGUAGAGGCUUACUAGAAGUGUAAAAACGUAGGCUUGGAUUAAGGCGACAGCGAUUUCUAGGAUAGUCAGUAGAAUUAGAAUUGUGAAGAUGAUAAGUGUAGAGGGAAGGUUAAUAGUUGAUAUUGCUAGUGUGGCGCUUCCAAUUAGGUGCAUGAGUAGGUGGCCUGCAGUAAUGUUAGCGGUUAGGCGUACGGCCAGGGCUAUUGGUUGAAUGAGUAGGCUGAUGGUUUCGAUAAUAACUAGUAUAGGGAUAAGGGGUGUAGGUGUGCCUUGUGGUAAGAAGUGGGCUAGGGCAUUUUUAAUCUUAGAGCGAAAGCCUAUAAUCACUGCGCCCGCUCAUAAGGGGAUGGCCAUGGCUAGGUUUAUAGAUAGUUGGGUGGUUGGUGUAAAUGAGUGAGGCAGGAGUCCGAGGAGGUUAGUUGUGGCAAUAAAAAUGAUUAAGGAUACUAGUAUAAGAGAUCAGGUUCGUCCCUUAGUGUUGUGUAUGGCUAUCAUUUGUUUUGAGGUUAGUUGGAUUAGUCAUUGUUGGGUGGUAAUUAGUCGGUUGUUGAUGAGAUAUUUGGAGGUGGGGAUCAAUAGAGGGGGAAAUAGAAUGAUCAGUACUGCGGCGGGUAGGCCUAGGAUUGUGGGGGCAAUGAAUGAAGUGAACAGAUUUUCGUUCAUUUUGGUUCUCAGGGUUUGUUAUAGUUUUUUAUUUUUAUGGGCUUUGGUGAGGGAGGUAGGUGGUAAUUUGUAUUUAAUAUUUUUAGUUGGGUGAUGAGGAAUAGUGUAAGGAGUAUGGGGGUAAUUAUGGUGGUCCGAGUAACGUCGGGGCAUUCCGGAUAGGCCGAGAAAGUGUUGUGGGAAGAAAGUUAGAUUUACGCCGAUGAAUAUGAUAGCGAAAUGGAUUUUGGCGUAGGUUUGGUCUAGGGUGUAGCCUGAGAAUAGGGGAAAUCAGUGAAUGAAGCCUCCUAUGAUGGCAAAUACAGCUCCUAUUGAUAGGACAUAGUGGAAGUGGGCUACAACGUAGUACGUGUCGUGUAGUACGAUGUCUAGUGAUGAGUUUGCUAAUACAAUGCCAGUCAGGCCACCUACGGUGAAAAGAAAAAUAAAUCCUAGGGCUCAGAGCACUGCAGCAGAUCAUUUCAUAUUGCUUCCGUGGAGUGUGGCGAGUCAGCUAAAUACUUUGACGCCGGUGGGGAUAGCGAUGAUUAUGGUAGCGGAGGUGAAAUAUGCUCGUGUGUCUACGUCUAUUCCUACUGUAAAUAUAUGGUGUGCUCACACGAUAAACCCUAGGAAGCCAAUUGAUAUCAUAGCUCAGACCAUACCUAUGUAUCCAAAUGGUUCUUUUUUUCCCGGAGUAGUAAGUUACAAUAUGGGAGAUUAUUCCGAAGCCUGGUAGGAUGAGAAUAUAAACUUCAGGGUGACCGAAAAAUCAGAAUAGGUGUUGGUAUAGAAUGGGGUCUCCUCCUCCGGCUGGGUCGAAGAAGGUGGUGUUGAGGUUACGGUCUGUUAGUAGUAUAGUGAUGCCAGCGGCUAGGACUGGGAGAGAUAGGAGAAGUAAGACUGCUGUGAUUAGGACGGAUCAGACGAAAAGGGGCGUUUGGUAUUGGGUUAUGGCAGGGGGUUUUAUAUUAAUAAUUGUUGUGAUGAAAUUGAUGGCUCCUAAGAUAGAGGAGAUACCUGCUAGGUGUAAGGAGAAGAUGGUUAGGUCUACGGAGGCUCCAGGGUGGGAGUAGUUCCCUGCCAAGGGAGGGUAGACUGUUCAACCUGUUCCUGCGCCGGCCUCCACUAUAGCAGAUGCAAGCAGGAGUAGGAGAGAGGGGGGUAAGAGUCAGAAGCUUAUGUUGUUUAUGCGGGGAAACGCCAUAUCGGGGGCACCGAUUAUUAGGGGAACUAGUCAGUUGCCAAAGCCUCCGAUUAUGAUGGGUAUUACUAUGAAGAAGAUUAUUACAAAUGCAUGGGCUGUGACGAUAACGUUGUAGAUGUGGUCGUUACCUAGAAGGUUGCCUGGCUGGCCCAGUUCGGCUCGAAUAAGGAGGCUUAGAGCUGUGCCUAGGACUCCAGCUCAUGCGCCGAAUAAUAGGUAUAGUGUUCCAAUGUCUUUGUGGUUUGUAGAGAAUAGUCAACGGUCGGCGAACAUCAGUGGGGGUGAGGUAAAAUGGCUGAGUGAAGCAUUGGACUGUAAAUCUAAAGACAGGGGUUAAGCCUCUUUUUACCAGCUCUGAGGUGAUUUUCAUAUUGAAUUGCAAAUUCGAAGAAGCAGCUUCAAACCUGCCGGGGCUUCUCCCGCCUUUUUUCCCGGCGGCGGGAGAAGUAGAUUGAAGCCAGUUGAUUAGGGUGCUUAGCUGUUAACUAAGUGUUUGUGGGUUUAAGUCCCAUUGGUCUAGUAAGGGCUUAGCUUAAUUAAAGUGGCUGAUUUGCGUUCAGUUGAUGCAGAGUGGGGUUUUGCAGUCCUUAGCUGUUGCAGAAAUUAAGUAUUGCAACUUACUGAGGGCUUUGAAGGCUCUUGGUCUGUAUUUAACCUAAAUUUCUAUAAGAUUAUUAGCAUAAAAGGGGAGAUAGGUAGGAGCAGUGUGGUAAGGGCGAUGAGUGUGGGGAGGAAUGGGGUGGGUUUUGUGUGUUCAAACUGUCAUUUUAUUUUUACGUUGUUAGAUAUAGGGAGUAGUGUGAUUGAGGUGGAGUAGAUUAGGCGCAGGUAGAAGUAGAGGUUAAGGAGGGUGAUGAUGGCUAUGAUGGUGGGGAUGAUGAGGCUAUUGUUUUUUGUGAAUUCUUCGAUAAUGGCCCAUUUGGGCAAAAAGCCGGUUAGCGGGGGCAGGCCUCCUAGGGAGAGGAGGGUGGAUGGAAUUAAGGGUGUUAGUCAUGUUAGCUUGUUUCAGGUGCGAGAUAGUAGUAGGGUUGUGGUGCUGGAGUUUAAGUUGAGUAGUAGGAAUGCGGUAGUAGUUAGGAUAAUAUAAAUAGUUAAAUUAAGAAUGGUUAUGUUAGGGUUGUACGGUAGAACUGCUGUUAUUCAUCCUAUGUGGGUAAUUGAGGAGUAUGCUAAGAUUUUGCGUAGUUGGGUUUGGUUUAAUCCACCUCAACUGCCUGCCAUGAUGGAUAAGAUUGAAAGAGUGAGGAGAAGGCUUACGUUUAAUGAGGGAGAAAUUUGGUAUAUGAUUGAGAUGGGGGCUAGUUUUUGUCAUGUGAGAAGGAGCAGGCCGGAUGUCAGAGGGGUGCCUUGGGUAACCUCUGGGACUCAGAAGUGAAAGGGGGCUAUUCCUAGUUUUAUUGCUAUAGCCAUUAUGAUUAUUAAUGAUGAGUAUUGAUUGGUGGUAUUGGUUAUGGUUCAUUGUCCGGAGAGUAUAUUGUUGAAGAGGAUAGCUAUUAGAAGGAUUAUGGAUGCGGUUGCUUGCGUGAGGAAAUACUUGAUGGCAGCUUCUGUGGAACGAGGGUUUAUUUUUUUGGUUAGAACUGGAAUAAAAGCUAGCAUGUUUAUUUCUAGGCCUACUCAGGUAAAAAAUCAGUGCGAGCUUAGCGCUGUGAUGAGUGUGCCUGCAAAGAUGGUAGAGUAGAUGACGGGUUGGGCCAGGGGAUUAAUUAGUACGGGAAGGAUAUAACCAACAUUUUCGGGGUAUGGGCCCGAUAGCUUAUUUAGCUGACCUUACUUUAGGAUGGGGUGUGAUAGGUGGCACGGAGAAUUUUGGAUUCUCAGGGAUGGGUUCGAUUCUCAUAGUCCUAGAAAUAAGGGGAUUUAAACUCCUAUUAUUUACUCUAUCAAAGUAACUCUUUUAUCAGACAUAUUUCUUAGGUUUGAGGGGGAAUGCUGGAGAUUGUAAUGGGUAUGGAGACAUAUCAUAUAAGUAAUGCUAGGGUGAGUGGUAGGAAGUUUUUUCAUAGGAGGUGUAUGAGUUGGUCGUAGCGGAAUCGGGGGUAUGCUGUUCGAAUUCAUAAGAACAGGGAGGUCAGAAGUAGGGUCUUGGUGACAAAAUAUGUUGUGUAGAGUUCAGGGGAGAGUGCGUUAUAUGUUGUUCCUAGGAAGAUUGUAGUGGUGAGGGUGUUUAUUAUAAUAAUGUUUGUGUAUUCGGCUAUGAAGAAUAGGGCGAAGGGGCCUGCGGCGUAUUCGAUGUUGAAGCCUGAGACUAGUUCGGACUCCCUUU
rnacentral:lncRNA from 1 species